ACAAUGAUACUGCCCAGCUCACUCAAUCAAAUACACCUGGGCAGGGCCAGAUAAAGAGCCCAUUGGGCCUGGUGCUGACCUUUUAUGAUGUGCCUAAUUAUAGAAUCUUAUCGACAGAAAACACUAAAACAGUUAUACCUCCCAAGCAUCACAGAUCUGAUGGAAGUGGUGCUGUAGGCGAACUCACAGGAUAAACCUAUCGAGAACACAUACCGUAUGCUAAUCUCUCACUUUAAUCUUUCAAGUAAAUCCAUACCUCCUAAAAGAAGUGUCCACUGAAGCAAGAUAUUGGUGGGCAGGGUGGUGAUUAGCCACUGGCGC